rnacentral:miRNA from 1 species
AUCGGAGCAGGGACUAGUGAG